GUUGUAGAACGGUGUUACAAUUCAGUGAUGCCGGUAAAACCACUCAAAUUAAAAAAAAAAAAAAAAGAGGGAAGAGGAAUUCAGUAAAAGGACUAUACGUUUUGAGGACCAGGCAGUCAGCCAGCAGCACAUAUACAACCGGCUUAACACCUGCUUGGCUGCUCAGAGCAGGCGAAAUGGCGGCGAACGGGGCUGGACGAGCAGAGCAGGCGAAAUGGCGGCGAACGGGGCUGGACGAGGGGCUGGAGCUCCCGAGCUCGCGGCUUCCCGGAAAACUGAGUUAGGAGCUGCGCCCUACGGAGUCCAGCGCGCGGGCUCGGACGGACGAAGCUCAGCGAAAACAGGACAGAAAACGCUAACGCUGUGAGCAGGAUUCGAACCUGCGCGGGGAGACCCCAUUGGAUUUCGAGUCCAACGCCUUAACCACUCGGCCAUCACAGCGGCGGGACUGCCGGCACUCCUCGGGUCCCUCGCAGGUCUUCUCCCCGCGGCGCGCGCGUCAGGUGGGGCCGCCGCCGCCGCCGCCGUCGAAAGGGUUUCUUCCUCCGCACAGGCGCCGCACCUCACGCACAGGCGCCGCACCUCACACCCAGACUUCCUCCAGAAGGUCUGUGCAGCCGGGCGGCGGAGGGAACUAACCCCGGGUUUCAUCCGGAGACCCUGCCGAGCAGACAAGUCCGCGAACGUGGAAGCGCCUGGACGUCCCCGCGUCGUCCCCUCUGCGGUCCGGAGCCGCACAGAAGGUCUGUGCAGCCGGGCGGCGGAGGGAACUAACCCCGGGUUUCAUCCGGAGACCCUGCCGAGCAGACAAGUCCGCGAACGUGGAAGCGCCUGGGCGUCCCCGCGUCGUCCCCUCUGCGGUCCGGAGCCGCACGCUGGCUGAGGCUGUGCCCUGCAGCUCCCAGCGGGGAGCGUUAGCGUCGGCCCCUCCUCUCAGCCCCUUGGCUUCUUGCAGCGGAGCCCCCAUUUUUGUGCUUGCCCCUUUUGUCAUUUCUAAGCUGGUCUCCCCGUCUCAACCAAGAGCUCCUGGAGCCGUGACGGACGUUUGAUUUUCACCUGUUUUCUGACUCCACGCGCCGGAAACUUUCUUGGUGCUUACAAGCUGCUUUGAUGCUUAGACAAGUCCCCAAGAGCCCGGUGAUCUGUUUCCUGCUCCUCACCCCUCGCCCCAGCAUCCGUUCGAGUCGCGCCUUUGCAACCCUCUCAGCUCCUGAGGUGGCUGUGCUCUGGCAAAGCAAGGCACGGUCUGGACACUGGACACGGCACACAGCACUGGCAGGUCUCACUCUGUUCAGACAGUGAGCGCCAGGUGGACAUCUUCAAGGCUGCCAGGUGGUUGUUCUGCGACGAUCUGUGCGAAUUACUCCUCCCGUCCUCCGUCUCUCAUCCUGAGCUCCAGCACCUCCUCUCCCCCAUCAGGCGCACCCGAGGGCAUUGCUUUCUACCUCUCUGAGAAAAGUAACCAUCAGAAGAGAACUUCCAUAAGCAUCACCAGCGUCCCCCCACUGCCAGCCCCGGGAGAACUGCAGCAGUCCUGCAAGCGCUUGUCAAGGUCACCGGGGACUGGCAUGUGCCUAACAUUUCCCCUGGCCUGCCUCUUACCUGGCACACAAGUCGUGGUUCUCUGUCGAAUAUUUGUAUUGAGAGUUUUUCCCACCUUUGUCUGAGACAGCAUCCCUCAAGUACAGUGAUUCCUGGACUGCGAAAAGGAACAGAAAAACUGGUGCACGCUUCGCUGUGAAUGGUCCACACUUUCAAAACUGUCUCCACUGUCUGUUAAAUCAAACAUUUACCCUUCAUGCCCUGCUGGAUCAGAAAUUUCUAGAACUUAUCCACUCUUUCAUGUAAGAGGACUGCGAAAAGGAACACAAUUUAUCCAUGCUCGCUUGAAGAUUUGGUGGGCUUUGCAAAAGAAGACAGAUUUGAAUUGACUCAAACCAUACUGACAGAUUUGGAGCUAGCUGCCAUCCAGGCUUCUAAAUGUGAAUUUCAGAAGCGUUGCCUAAAGGUGGCUUUUUCAGCCCAGUGCAUUUCUGCUGGGGUGAUGGUGGGGGGGAGUCAGGUGAGUAGAUUGUCACUUCUGUUUAAAAAUUGUGUCAUUUGCAUGGAUUUCUAAGAACUUGUAAUGAGUUAAAGCCACACCUGCCUGAAGUUGUCAGGGAAGUGACCGACUGGUCUGAAAAUAAUUACGGGCAAGACAGGAUAAGAAGGCCCUUGGGAAACAGUGCCAAUGUGGUGUCACCAGCUGUUACCGCUGAAUCGGUGGUCUGCCUGUGACUCCUGACCAACACAGAAGCACGGCACAAAAGACAGGAGACUCAACGGGGAAUGCUCACAUCCCUUCCAUAGCAGCAGGGCCUCACAGAACAGGAGCCUGUGUUCUCUGGGAGCCACGCCCUGCAAAGCAGCGUGGGACUUCACCAUGCAGCUAAUGACGUGGAAAUGAGCCAGUCUUAACAAGGUCCACACUACUGCCUGUAACCUAGCCCUGUGGCACAAUAUGCUCAUAUGAGUCUCUUUGUAGAGUUUCCAUUUAUUUUCCAACUUUUCUCCAUGUUCACUGUUCAGGGUUAAUUUUUAAAACUUGCUAGGCUGUGUGUUUUAUCUUUGCAUCAUUUCCAACCCUGGAGGUAUACAUGGUGUCAAGAUGCUUCGAGUUCUAAUUCGUUGUAUACAUUGUGCAGACGCACAUGAUCACAGUGUCGACUUUGUGAGCCUGUGCCUGUGUACAAAAAUGCUGGAACUUCCUCAACCAGACAAGUUCUGCUCGUAUUGGCACGUGUGAAAGAUACAAGUUCGGAAGAUCUUGGCUCCUUGAGGACUGGGUAUGUGCUGGAGACCAUUGUGGGUUUUGAUGGAUGUGCUCCCGAGACGUCCCUUGUCCGUCUGGUCUCAAGAACCCUUCCCUUUCUGUGUCCGUCUGUCCAGUGCGGCUUCAAGAGGAGACAUAAGGGAGGCUCAGGAGCGGAGCUCACUCUGCUCACAGGUCCUGGACGCAGGGGCCGGCACACCGUGCAGGGCACGUGGUCAGGCGGCAGGAGCCGGCAGCAAGGGGGACCGUCUGGCUUUGCGGGAAAGGCAGGCAGGGCACGGUGAAUGCGUUAGGGACCGGCUCAUUUGAAUACUUUCGGUGGCUUCUGUCAGCCGGGUUGCUGUGAUUUGAAUGCUUAUUCCGCGAACAGCGUUAGGAUGGUGGGCAUUCCGCAGGUGAGCAGGCCCUGAGGCCCCCACCUCCUGGGCUGGGCACGGCGGGCCCUCCUUCACUCGGUCCCUGGCCUUUUUACGUGUGAUGACUCGGCGAGGAGGCCCUGGCCUGAGGCUGGCACUCGAUUUUCCACUUCCUACACCUCGGAGGCCUGAGACGACGCGUUUCUGUGCCCCUGAACAAGUCCAGCCCCAGACACUCGGUCCUCACGGCACAGAGCCGACUUGGACCGGGAGGGCUCAGGCGUGACCCUGAGGACGGAUUCCCCCGCCCGCACUCAGAGCCGCGCUCGGCCAGGGUUCCUGCAGUGACCUCCGCCUGUCCUCUCUCUGGGGUUCCGUUAACGCGUUACUUGGGAUGGACUUAGUGAGGCACUGUCCAGCCAUCCUCUUCCCUGCGUCCGCUGUGGGGCGCUCCCCGGCUCCCCUCGCUCGGCUGGAUCCUGAUUACCGUGCACAGCUCUGUCUCCGGCCCCAGCUUGGGGCUGAGCUGGAUUCUCCAUUCUGGGACGUUUCACGGAGGGGCGAUGCUUUCUGGUUGCGGCUCCGCACCGGCUGCGCGGACCCUGCCCAAGCCACGAGCGUCCACCCUGCCCGGGCGCUUCGGGCUCGCUUCCUCAGGGUGUUUAGAUGCCGGCCCGGCCCCUCCGGAUCGGCAGGGCGCCCGACCCGCACAGGAGAGACCCGCGGUCAGCCCGAGGUGCCCUGCUCCUGCGCUUUCCGAGCCGUGCCUCCUCCCCGGCUCCCGCAGCAGGAGGAACCAGGUUGCCCGGGUGCCCGCAGACGGAGGAAGCCCGCACGCUGGGUGGGUGGGGUGAGGGUAAGCGUCGCAGCGGUUGCGGAGUUCAAACCAAAGCUCCUAGGAGCAAAAUUCACGCGUAAAAACAUCCUGUUUCCGCCCGGUUUCGAACCGGGGACCUUUCGCGUGUUAGGCGAACGUGAUAACCACUACACUACGGAAACCCACGGGGGGCGGGUGCCUCCCUCUUCCUUUUACAAGCGAUUGCUGGCUUCUCUCCUAAUUUAUGGGUAACUAUUUUCCAUACUUGUUACCCGACGAUCUAAUUUAAAGUGAGGGACAUUUACUAAACAACUGCCCUUUCCUCUUAAUAAAAUAAUGCGUUUCUUACUAGUUAUAAAAAUAAACAUUGGCUAAACUGAAAGCAUGCCAUUGUAAAAAUUAAAAAAAUAAAAAUUAAAAGAAUAAGAAAGGAAGGAGGAGGGAGGCUAGUGUGGGAAGUAUCACUGUGUUCCUAAAUCUGUAUAUAUGAAAUACCUGAAAUUUGUUCACUUUAUAUAAGUUUUUAAAAAUUGAAAAAAAAAACUGGCAUAGAACUAACAUUAAAAUUUAAUUCCUAUUGAAA